CAGGCGGCUGCGGAAGAUGGCAGAGGUGCAGGUCCUGGUGCUCGAUGGUCAAGGCCAUCUCCUGGGCCGCCUGGCGGCCAUCGUGGCUAAGUAGUUACUGCUGGGCCGGAAGGUGGUAGUCGUACGCUGCGAGGGCAUCAACAUCUCUGGCAAUUUCUACAGAAACAAGUUGAAGAAUCUGGCUUUCCUCGGCAAGCGGAUGAACACCAACCCUUUUCGAAGCGCCUACCACUUCCGGGCCCCCAGCCGCAUCUUCUGGCCGACAGUGCGAGGCAUACAUGCUGCGCCACAAGACCAAGCGAGGCCAUGCCUCCCUGGACUGCCUCAAGGUGUUUGACGGCAUCCCACCGCCCUACGAUAAGAAAAAGCGGAUGGUGGUUCCUGCUGCCCUCAAGGUCGUGCGUCUGAAGCCUACAAGAAAGUUUGCCCUUCUGGGGCGACAGGCUCAAGAGGUUAGGUGGAAGUACCAGGCAGUGACAGCCACCCUGGAGGAGAAGAGGAAGGAGAAAGCCAAGAUCCACUACUGGAAGAAGAAACAGCUCAUGAGGCUACGGAAACAGGCCGAGAAGAACGUGAAGAAAAACUGACAAAUACACAGAGGUCCUCAAGACCCACGGACUCCUGGUCUGAGCCCAGUAAAGACUGUUAAUUUCUCAUGCUUGGCCUGGCCUGCCCUUCCUCCGUCGUCGCCCUGGAAUGUGCGGGACCCAGGGGCAGCAGCAGUCCAGGUGCCACAGGCAGCCUGGGACAUAGGAAAGGGUCUUAGUUACUGCCUUCUGACGUUACUUGAAAGCGCUCGGAGAAUUGUGCAGGUGUAAUUUAUUUAUGACCAAUAGGAAGAGAAACCAGUUACUAUUAGCACAAGGGAGCCGGAAGACUAAUUGGAGGGGCCCUCCCUUGUGAGUGGAGCUCCUGUUUAACUUUCUACCUGGUCAUAUACUAUACUCUGCAGCUGUUAGAAUGUGCAAGCGCUUGGAGACAGCAUGAGCUUGCUGUUGUACACAGGGUAUUUAUAGCAGCAUAGACUGGGAAGAUGGGCAACAAAGGGGAUACAGGCAUUGCCUAUGCUCCUCACCUGUAUUUUGUAAUCAGGAUCAAAUUACUUUUAAAGAAAAAAAAAACAAAGUGAAGGAGCAACUCAUGUAAAUGUUUGGGAGAAGAGCUUUCUAGGCUUCAAGCAAAAAGACCAGUAUGACUAGAGCAGAAAGAGUGAAGGGCAGAGCGAAGUUGGGACAAAUAGCUUUAUGAAGCUAUGGUGAAGACUUCAAGUUUUACUUUCAGUAUUGUGUAGUCAUUGGAAGACUUUGAGCAGAGAAAUAACAGGAUCUGACCUAAGUUUUGAAACAAUGACCCUGACUGCUAUGUGGAGAAUAAAGGGCACUGACGAUAGACUCAGAGUUUUAUAUUAGUCCAGAGGGUAUUAUAUUAGCCCAGGCAAGAACUGAUUGAUAGAGGCCUGGACUAGGAUGAUAGUGGUGAAUUAAUGAUAAAUAGUUGUAUUUGGAAUAUAUAUGCUAAAUAAAGCCAAUAAAGUGGGAAAGUAAAUUAGUACAGCCA